rnacentral:rRNA from 1 species
AACGAACGCUGGCGGCAUGCCUAACACAUGCAAGUCGAACGAGACCUUCGGGUCUAGUGGCGCACGGGUGCGUAACGCGUGGGAACCUGCCCUUAGGUUCGGAAUAACUCCCCGAAAGGGGUGCUAAUACCGGAUAAUGUCUUCGGACCAAAGAUUUAUCGCCUUUGGAUGGGCCCGCGUUGGAUUAGCUAGUUGGUAGGGUAAAAGCCUACCAAGGCGAGGAUCCAUAGCUGGUCUGAGAGGAUGAUCAGCCACACUGGGACUGAGACACGGCCCAGACUACUGGGGGAGGGGGGGGGGGGUAAUAUUGAAAAAGGGGGGAGAGCCAGAACGACCAAGGGCGGGUGAGGGAUGAGGUCGUGAGGGUUAAAAAGCUUUUUAACCCGGGGUUAUAAUGACGGUACCGGAAGAAUAAGCCCCGGCUAACUCCGUG